UACCUGCAGCUCAAGUGGUGAUCGCUAUUAUUGGGCCUAAAACGUCCGUAGCCGGUUUAUUAAAUGCCUGGGUAAAUCGUAUAGCUCAACUAUACGAAUUCCGGGUAGACUGUUAAACUUGAGACCGGGAGAAGCUAGAGGUACUCCUGGGGUAGAGGUGAAAUUCUGUAAUCCUAGGGGGACCACCAGUGGCGAAGGCGUCUAGCUAUAACGGGUCUGACGGUGAGGGACGAAGCCCUGGGGCGCAAACCGGAUUAGAUACCCGGGUAGUCCAGGGUGUAAACGCUGCUUGCUUGAUGUUGGUUGGGCUCCGAGCCCGAUCAGUGUCGGAGAGAAGUUGUUAAGCAAGCUGCCUGGGAAGUACGGUCGCAAGACUGAAACUUAAAGGAAUUGGCGGGGAGCACAGCAACGGGUGGAGCGUGCGGUUU
rnacentral:rRNA from 1 species